rnacentral:tRNA from 1 species
UCCUCGGUAGUAUAGUGGUCAGUAUCCCCGCCUGUCACGCGGGAGACCGGGGUUCGAUUCCCCCGCCGGGGAG